rnacentral:rRNA from 1 species
UACGGAGGGUGCGAGCGUUGUCCGGAAUUAUUGGGCGUAAAGAGCUCGUAGGCGGUUUGUCGCGUCGGCCGUGAAAUCUCCACGCUUAACGUGGAGCGUGCGGUCGAUACGGGCAGACUUGAGUUCGGUAGGGGAGACUGGAAUUCCUGGUGUAGCGGUGAAAUGCGCAGAUAUCAGGAGGAACACCGGUGGCGAAGGCGGGUCUCUGGGCCGAUACUGACGCUGAGGAGCGAAAGCGUGGGGAGCGAACAGG